CGACCAGUAUUGGGGUAUUGGUCUUCCUGAAACUUCUGUGAGACCUUGAGUAAAGCAAUUUAUUUUCUGAGUCCCAAUUCCUCACCCAUAAAACGAGGGAGACUGGACUAAGCCCAUGGUCCUCAAUCUUUUUUCCCACAGAGCCAUGAAGGGAGUGGACCCAUGAAGGACAAUGCCCACAGGAGGGUGCACUGGGGUGUCCAGUGGCUACCAGACGCAUGACAUCAUGACAGACUGAAUGCGGACACAGAUCUGAGAAUCCAGCUGACUUCUGGGCCACACAUUAAAACAAAGACACUUUUCUCAUUAAGUUUUUUGAAAAAUAUUUAAAAAAACAUUAUUUCUGUUGA